UCAGAGAGGCAGGCUCCCAGUCAGUGCGUGGAGUUGGUCUCGGAUAGAGGUUUUGGGAGUAAAAAUACUCCCCGAUGCAGACUAGAAGAAACUGCAAUCAGCCCACCUCGACAGGAGAAUGAAUCCUGCAGCAGGGUGAAGGAAAAUCUUGUUUUCACGUGUGGCUCCAAGAAGAUAAUUUCAGUCAGAUGCUGUUACGAGCAAUUUUUAUCCGAAGAUGAAAGACUUCAUGUUCCUCUGAUUAAUGAGGUGGUAGUAAAGCUCUAAAGCAGAGCCUCUCAGCUCAUGCUUGAGCUUAAGUGUGCUUCGUGAUGUGGUGUUUUUGUUUUGUUUUUUUUGUUUUGUGUGUGUGUGUGUAGAACAUAACCAGAACUGUCAUUGCCCUGCGGACAGCGGACUCAUUCUGCCACUGUCUUGUGUCAUUAUGUCCUCUUGUUAUGCAACCUGACCUCUGCGGUUCUGAGCAACGUCCCCGGCUCAGUCCCUGUCCCAUGCCUGUCUGACUGUCUCUCCUCCCUCCUCCACACCGUGCCUCCUCUGUCAGCUCGGCUCACGGUCACAGCUGCUGUCCUGCCUGCCUGCCUCGGUGAACAUUCAACGCUGUCGGUGAGUUUGGUAUGGAUCUCAUAAAAACCAUCGACCGUUGACUGUGCCCCGUGGUUCGCUCCGACGACGUCAGGAAUGAGCGAAAAAUGAACAAAGGGGCAAAGUGGCUACAUGCAAAUCCAGUGACGUAAACAGACGCAUACGCGCGCACAAAAGUGACACUCUGUUUCCACUGUACCCAAAGACCUAAGGUCACAAUCAACAUUCAUUGCUGUCGCUGGGUUGGACUGUGUAGAAAAGCUCACUGAACAAUGAGUGCAACUGUGGCCCAGAUCUGCCUGACUCGCGUCUCAGCCAAUCAGCCGACCGGAUGUGAGGCACUCUGAUUAUUUUAUUUAUAUACUUCUUGUUUUUCACUUCUAUUUUCUCCCUCCUUCCUCCCUCCCCGGUGCUGGGAGUCUUAAGGGGAAGAGAGAAUGAGAGAGAGACAGAGACACAAAUAGACUUCUGGCUGCUUGCUUGUCCUCAUCCUCCUCUCCUCUCCUCUAAUUGAUGGUUAUGUGUGCAGCAAGGGGGAAGGAAGCAGAGUGAAUGUGUAAUCAUUUGGAGUCUCUUCUCCUUUAGAUGUUUCAUCCCUCUCUUUUUUGUUCGUCUAAUUAUAUACUGAGCUGAGUUAACUCUGUGUUAACUGUGCGCCUGUGCUGGCAAGAAAGACGGACUGAUAGAAAGGGAGGACAGGGAGAACAAAAACGGCAGAAAGCUUACAGCAGCAGCUAAAUGAUUAUCUCGUUUUUAGUAGAUUUUGCCUAAUACUCUUCCUCAAGCAAUGUGCUGGGAGAAGGAAGGAAAUUUCAACUGCAUAAAGUCAAUUGUUUUCACCUUUCACACCGAGGACAUCUCAUUAUCUGUGUUUGAGUUUCAUGAGAGCCUGCUCAGUUUCCUUUCUGCCCCUGUUUGUGUGUGUGUGCGCUAAGAUAGAGGACCUGUCGGGUGAUCUCAGAGUGCAAUAUGUUAUUUUCCUUCUAUACUAAAGCGUGUUCCUCUCAUGGGGGGAAAAAAAACAGCCUAUAACCUUGUCUUCCUUCACAGUCUGGGACCGGCCACACCACUGCCAUUUCUCAUCGCACCCUCCUGUAACAACUUCUGUAAUUCAAGUAAGGUGAACACAAAGCUCACACGUAUGAUUUAUGGGUAUAGGAAUGUUUGUAUCACUGAUUAACCUAAUAAAGCUAAAUCAACUUA